UCAACAUCCUGCGGAUGCCUAUUGGGCAAU
rnacentral:sRNA from 1 species